GUCUCUGUAGUGCAAUUGAUAGCUUGUUUGACUUCUAAUCCAAAGGUCGUGGGAUCGAAUCCCACCUGGGAUG